GRUSAACGCUSGCGGCGUGCCUAAUACAUGCAAGUCGAACGAGUUCUGAUUAUUGAAAGGUGCUUGCAUCUUGAUUUAAUUUUGAACGAGUGGCGGACGGGUGAAUAACACGUGGGUAACCUGCCCUUAAGUGGGGGAUAACAUUUGGAAACAGAUGCUAAUACCGCAUAAAUCCAAGAACCGCAUGGUUCUUGGCUGAAAGAUGGCGUAAGCUAUCGCUUUUGGAUGGACCCGCGGCGUAUUAGCUAGUUGGUGAGGUAACGGCUCACCAAGGCAAUGAUACGUAGCCGAACUGAGAGGUUGAUCGGCCACAUUGGGACUGAGACACGGCCCAAACUCUACGGGAGGCAGCAGUAGGGAAUCUUCCACAAUGGACGCAAGUCUGAUGGAGCAACGCCGCGUGAGUNAAGAAGGCUUUCGGGUCGUAAAACUCUGUUGUUGGAGAAGAUGCGUCGGCAGAGUAACUGUUAGUCGGCGUGACGGUAUCCAACCAGAAAGCUACGGCUAACUACGUGCCAGCAGCCGCGGUAAUACGUAGGUGGCAAGCGUUAUCCGGAUUUAUUGGGCGUAAAGCGAGCGCAGGCGGUUUUUUAAGUCUGAUGUGAAAGCCCUCGGCUUAACCGAGGAAGUGCAUCGGAAACUGGGAAACUUGAGUNCAGAAGAGGACAGUGGAACUCCAUGUGUAGCGGUGGAAUGCGUAGAUAUAUGGAAGAACACCAGUGGCGAAGGCGGCUGUCUGGUCUGUAACUGACGCUGAGGCUCGAAAGCAUGGGUAGCGAACAGAUUAGAUACCCUGGUAGUCCAUGCCGUAAACGAUGAAUGCUAGGUGUUGGAGGGUUUCCGCCCUUCAGUGCCGCAGCUAACGCAUUAAGCAUUCCGCCUGGGGAGUACGACCGCAAGGUUGAAACUCAAAGGAAUGGACGGGGGCCCGCACAAGCGGUGGAGCAUGUGGUUUAAUUCGAAGCAACGCGAAGAACCUUACCAGGUCUUGACAUGUUUUGAUCACCUGAGAGAUCAGGUUUCCCCUUCGGGGGCAAAAUGACAGGUGGUGCAUGGUUGUCGUCAGCUCGUGUCGUGAGAUGUUGGGUUAAGUCCCGCAACGAGCGCAACCCUUAUGACUAGUUGCCAGCAUUUAGUUGGGCACUCUAGUAAGACUGCCGGUGACAAACCGGAGGAAGGUGGGGAUGACGUCAAAUCAUCAUGCCCCUUAUGACCUGGGCUACACACGUGCUACAAUGGAUGGUACAACGAGUUGCGAGACCGCGAGGUCAAGCUAAUCUCUUAAAGCCAUUCUCAGUUCGGACUGUAGGCUGCAACUCGCCUACACGAAGUCGGAAUCGCUAGUAAUCGCGGAUCAGCACGCCGCGGUGAAUACGUUCCCGGGCCUUGUACACACCGCCCGUCACACCAUGAGAGUUUGUAACACCCGAAGCCGGUGGCGUAACCCUUUUAGGGAGCGAGCCGUCUAAGGUGGGNCAAAUGAUUAGGGUGAAGUCGUAACAAGGUAGCCGUAGGAGAACC
rnacentral:rRNA from 1 species